AAAAAAAAAAAAAAAAAUUGAAAUGAAAAAAUGGGGAUUUUUUUAUUGAUGAAAUGAAAUGGUUGAGGAAAUAAACAACAAUAUUAAUAACAACAUAUUUAUCCUUGUUUCACUAACCCAUAAGUACCCACCAGGCAUCCAAUCUCCCUCAGGCCUUCCAUUUCUUUCUGUAUUUAUCACGUAUAUACAUGUACAAGAUCCUCUUCUACCAGCCUGCCAAUCUCUCUCUCAAACAACUAGGGAACCUCCCUAAUCAAUUGUACAUUUUUUUUUUUUUGCCCCUCAUUUUUCUUUUUUUCCUGUGAAUAAAAGUGGGGAUACAACAACAGGCUGGCCUACAAG
rnacentral:misc_RNA from 1 species